UCUUGUGUGUGUGAGCGAGUAGUUGCUGUUUACGAUGUGUUCAUAUAUCGCUUUGUAGUGCUGUAAUGUGCAAAUUAGCGGACUUUAUAGCGGCUCUCUAUUUCCCGUCGUUGUCUUUCGAGCAGCGCCUGUUGUUCCGAUAAAAAUCGAGUUGAAUGAAUCGCCACAGCCCCAACGUAUAUCGCGCAGUGUUGACCAAGACCAAGUCAAGCAGGAAUUCUGGCAUGGUAUGUGGCUGCACGAAGGAUUCCGGAAAAGAAAAACAACAACAUGGCUAAUAGGAUGUUGCUGCCCAGGGAGUCCUGGCGAAGAGGUUUACUCAUUCCAGAAGCAAGAAUUGUAUCAUUGUAAGGCGAAUGGAAAUAAACUGACAUCGACUGAGA